rnacentral:rRNA from 1 species
CAACGUAGACAACUUCCCUCCCAGAGGGGGAUAGCCCGCCGAAAGGCGGGGUAAUACCGCGUACGAUCAAGCUAUGGCAUCACGGCUUGAUGAAACAGUCCGCAAGGAUUGCUGGGAGAAAGGUCUGCGGCCUAUCAGCUAGUUGGUGAGGUAACGGCUCACCAAGGCAACGACGGGUAUCCGGCCUGAAAGGGUGAUCGGACACACUGACACUGAGACACGGGUCAG